rnacentral:tRNA from 1 species
GGCCCCUUCAUCUAGCGGUUAGGAUUCCAGGUUUUCAUCCUGGCCACAGGAGUUCGAGUCUCCUAGGGGUCACCA